CUAUACAUGCAGUCGAGCGCGAGAGUGAGGAGCUUGCUCCUCAUGAUCGAGCGGCGGACGGGUGAGUAACACGUAGGCAACCUACCCUUGAGAUUGGGAUAACUACCGGAAACGGUAGCUAAUACCGGAUACGACUUUACUGCAUAAGCAGUUCAGUUAAAAGGCGGAUUUAUCUGCCGCUCAUGGAUGGGCCUGCGGUGCAUUAGCUAGUUGGUGAGGUAGUGGCUCACCAAGGCGACGAUGCAUAGCCGACCUGAGAGGGUGAUCGGCCACACUGGGACUGAGACACGGCCCAGACUCCUACGGGAGGCAGCAGUAGGGAAUCUUCCGCAAUGGACGAAAGUCUGACGGAGCAACGCCGCGCGAGUGAUGAAGGGUUUCGGCUCGUAAAACUCUGUUGUUAAGGAAGAACACUUGAGGUAGUAACUGGCCUUGAGAUGACGGUACUUAACCAGAAAGCCACGGCUAACUACGUGCCAGCAGCCGCGGUAAUACGUAGGUGGCAAGCGUUAUCCGGAAUUAUUGGGCGUAAAGCGCGCGUAGGCGGUAAAAUAAGUCUGAUGUGAAAGCCCCCGGCUCAACCGGGGAGGGUCAUUGGAAACUGUUUUACUUGAGUACAGAAGAGGAGAGUGGAAUUCCAUGUGUAGCGGUGAAAUGCGCAGAGAUAUGGAGGAACACCAGUGGCGAAGGCGGCUCUCUGGUCUGUAACUGACGCUGAGGUGCGAAAGCGUGGGGAUCAAACAGGAUUAGAUACCCUGGUAGUCCACGCCGUAAACGAUGAGUGCUAAGUG
rnacentral:rRNA from 1 species